rnacentral:rRNA from 1 species
UACGGAGGGUGCAAGCGUUAUCCGGAUUCACUGGGUUUAAAGGGUGUGUAGGCGGGUCUGUAAGUCAGUGGUGAAAUCUCCGAGCUCAACUUGGAAACUGCCAUUGAUACUAUAGAUCUUGAAUUUUGUUGAGGUAGGCGGAAUAUGUCAUGUAGCGGUGAAAUGCAUAGAUAUGACAUAGAACACCGAUUGCGAAGGCAGCUUACUAAGCAAAUAUUGACGCUGAGGCACGAAAGCGUGGGGAU